rnacentral:tRNA from 1 species
GUGAAUGUAGCUUAAUGGCAAAGCCCCAGACCGUGAAUCUGGUAGAUAUCGGUUCGAGUCCGAUUGUUCACCCCA